CUCCCCCCUGUGUCGUUCCCUCACGGCGUCCCUUCCCUCAUCCCAUAGGAAAGCGAGGAAAAGCCAAACACAGCCCUGGCCAAUCAGCAUCUCCUCAUAGAGAUACAUUGAAUCAAUGUAUCUCUAUGAGGAAAGUUCAGUGUCUGCAUGCAGAGGGAGGAGACACUGAAUGUUUGGAUGCAUUUUAGGCAGCCAUGACCCAGGAAGGAUCUCUAGCAGCCAUCUGAGGAGUGGCCAGUGAAGUUAUCACUAGGCUGUAACGUAAACACUGCAUUUUCUCUGAACAGACAGUGCUUACAGCAAAAAGCCUGAAGGGAAUGAUUCUACUCACCAGAACAAAUUCAAUAAGCUGUAGUUGUUCUGAUGACCAUAGUGUCCCUUUAAUAGUAUGCUCCCCAUAUCAACCCCUCAUAACCAACGCACACACUGCGAGCACACAAUGAGUAAGGACAGAGGGAGAAACACUCUUGGUUGGAGCCACAGUAUUUCUCAUUAAAAUGUUGUUGGUACAUACAAGUAGCUUGUCAUGAGGAACAAAAGGAUUGGAUUACCAGUUUAGUCUCGUGGACAUAGAUUAUUUUUGUCUUACAUUGCACACCCCUGGUAUGGUUUCCUCAUAUAGUAUCCCUCCCACAGAGGUGGUCCCCCGCAUAAAGCAAGGCAGACUAGUAGAUUCAAUGAG